CCGGGAUAGCUCAGCUGGUAGAGCAGAGG
rnacentral:tRNA from 1 species